rnacentral:piRNA from 1 species
GUGACACUUUGACACGAACACAA